rnacentral:misc_RNA from 1 species
AUUCGAUAGAUCUCAAAGCUGUAGUUACUUUCCAUUUCCAGCAUUUCUUAGUCCCCAAACGAAGCAUGACUAACAAAAACAGUAACUGAUAACAAAUUCAAAUCCAUGAAUUUAACAAAAACCGGCUCAAACACAGCAUUCGAGGUCGCAAAAUCGUCAAAUGUGAAUCCGAAUAGAGCAAUGAAACCUCAAUCAAACAUCUACAGAAAAUAAGAAAUUCAAAGAAAUCGAGCAUUGUUGACCAAUCAGA